GCCCGUGUGGCUCAGUGGAUAGAGUGCUGGCCCUCGGACGGAAGGGUCCCGGGUUCGAUUCCCGGUCAGGGGCA
rnacentral:tRNA from 1 species